rnacentral:rRNA from 1 species
ACGUGCAAUCCCGAGCGAGGGGUGUCGCUGACCCGAAAGGUCGUUCACGCCCGAGUGCCUUCACACACAGCCAUCUCACCCAAUGUGCACCCCCGCGUGGAUCCCCCUUUGGCUUAUUCGGAGGGGGGCUUACGUUUUCACAAAAACUUUGUAUGCAGUGUAGAAUGUAUUUUUUUUUUUUGCGAUCACGCAAUCAAAACAACUAAUCAACAAGGAUCUUUGACUCUCGCAUCGAUGAAGAACGCAGCGAAAUGCGAUACGUAAUGUGAAUUGCAGAAGUCAGUGAAUCAUCGAAUCUUUGAACGCACCUUGCGCCCCUUGGCAUUCCGAGGGGCACACACGUUUGAGUGUCGUGAAAUUCUCAAAAACCCUUUUCUUUUUAGGAAAGGGUUUUUGGACUUGGAGGCUUUUUGCUGGCUUCACCUUGAAGUGAGCUCCUCCUAUAUGAAUCGGUGGGGUCCGCUUUGCCGAUCCUUGACGUGAUAAGAUGUUUCUGCGUCUUUGGGUUUGGCACUGUCACCUGCUUCUAACUGUCUCAUUGACAAUGAUGAGCUCCGGUCACCACCGCUCUUAUCGGUGGGAGGCUUGACCCACAAAAACAAAACCUUGACCUCAAAUCGGGUGAGACUACCCGCUGAACUUAAGCAUAUCAAUAAGCGGAGGAAAAGAAACUAACAAGGAUUCCCCUAGUAACUGCGAGUGAAGCGGGAAAAGCUCAAAUUUAAAAUCUAGUGGCCUUUUCCAUCAAGUUGAAAAUUGGAGUACUAGCUGUCCG